AGAAGCUGCAGACACAGGCAAGAAGAAUUAGGGUUGUCUUGGGUCAGGGUGGGAGUGGGGAGGUGGCACUUGAAGGAAGCAGAGGAAUCAGUUAAAUAUCGGGGGGAGAACAGAUAGAAAGAGACUCACGGAAGGGAAGGUAAAGAGGUAUGGAUGGAGAAACAAGGAAAUUAUAGGAGGAUGGUGUAGCCCUCAUGCCUAGAUUUCCAUAUAGCCAGGCCAUGCAAUCUCAGACUCUUGUCCUUUCUAAAUUAUAAGCCUUGGGCCCCUAACCCACAUCCUUCCCUGUUCAUAUUCCUUAAAUCUGUAUGCCCCCUGGACCACCACCCACCAUCUACCCCCCAUCCCAAGCUCCUAUCCAUAUGUAUUCCCCCUGAAUGGCUUUUCUUCC